AUUGAACGCUGGCGGCAGGCCUAACACAUGCAAGUCGAGCGGAUGAAGGGAGCUUGCUCCUGGAUUCAGCGGCGGACGGGUGAGUAAUGCCUAGGAAUCUGCCUGGUAGUGGGGGAUAACGUCCGGAAACGGGCGCUAAUACCGCAUACGUCCUGAGGGUGAAAGUGGGGGAUCUUCGGACCUCACGCUAUCAGAUGAGACUAGGUCGGAUUAGCUAGUUGGUGGGGUAAAGGCCUACCAAGGCGACGAUCCGUAACUGGUCUGAGAGGAUGAUCAGUCACACUGGAACUGAGACGCGGUCCAGACUCCUACGGGAGGCAGCAGUGGGGAAUAUUGGACAAUGGGCGAAAGCCUGAUCCAGCCAUGCCGCGUGAGUGAAGAAGGUCUUCGGAUUGUAAAGCACUUUAAGUUGGGAAGAAGAGCAGUAAGUGAAUCCAUUGCUGUUUUGACGGUACCAACAGAAUAAGCACCGGCUAACUUCGUG
rnacentral:rRNA from 1 species